AUGGGUAAGUUGUUUUACAACGUUCAAUUUUAACUUCGAAAGUUUUUGAUGCUCAAAAUCAUCCGACCAAAUAGCACCGUCUCCCUCUCGUCGGCGACGACUGCUCAGGCGACUAUUCAUCUUCUCAGAUAUGCAGAUUUAUCGAUUUUACUACAUUUCGGAUUUAUCGAUUUCACUAUGCAUAUUUAUGCUUCAAGUAAUGCAUUAGCUUCAAAAAUCGGAAGAAGCUUUCAAUGCUGCCAAGUCGUUGGUGCUCGAAUCCGUGACCUCUAAGAACAACAAAGAUUACUUUAACUACUGAGGUAAGUUAGUUCGUGCAACCAUUUUUAUUUUUAAUAUCUCCAAUUAGAAAGGAUUGUAUCCGUAACUCCUCCAUAAAUGGAAAGUAUGGAACUGCAUCAGACGUCUUAAA